rnacentral:rRNA from 1 species
UACGUAGGGUGCAAGCGUUAAUCGGAAUUACUGGGCGUAAAGCGUGCGCAGGCGGUCUUGCAAGACAGAUGUGAAAUCCCCGGGCUCAACCUGGGAACUGCAUUUGUGACUGCAAGGCUGGAGUGCGGCAGAGGGGGAUGGAAUUCCGCGUGUAGCAGUGAAAUGCGUAGAUAUGCGGAGGAACACCGAUGGCGAAGGCAAUCCCCUGGGCCUGCACUGACGCUCAUGCACGAAAGCUAGGGGAGCAAACAGG